GCGCCCGUAGCUCAGCUGGAUAGAGCACCGGACUUCUAAUCCGACGGCCGCAGGUUCGAAUCCUGCCGGGCGUGCCA
rnacentral:tRNA from 1 species